rnacentral:lncRNA from 1 species
CAUAACCGAAAAAAUAUAUAUUAGAGACUUAGAGCAUCUCCAAGGGCUUUGCAAAUAGACUUUGCAUUGAUAAAUUUGUAAAAAAGACUAGAAAAUAUCCCUCUAAUGGUUUUGCAAUUGAGGUUUGCAAUUUGGUAAACUUGGCAAAUAGAGGUUGAGGCUUUGCAUAUAUGCCUACGUCCUCCGAGCUUUGCAUCCAGGCAUUCGGUCGGUCCAUGUCGGAUUUGGAAGGCGCGAUCUCCCUCCUGGAUUCCAUCUGUGCCGUCGCUGGAUGAAGGUGCAGGGCAAGGUGCGCCAGCCGGCCCUGGAAAAGUCUUGUACACGCACGAGAAGCACGUCCCUGGAAAAGUCAGCCGGCGAGCGGUGCCGCCUGCAGGUGACGCGACACCGUUCAGGCUGAAGUCGCUGGAUGUUCACGCGAUUGGUGAGCGUACUACUGUAAUCGCUGGAUGUUCACAGUCCUGGUGGCGGCGUUCGCGAAAAUUGGCGGCAACGGAAUGACGAGGCGCGCGAAAACAAAAAAGACGGUAAAAAAAAAAUAGGACUUGACAAAAUGCAAAACGGUUGGAAAUCACACCUUUUAGGACUUUUCAAAUUCAUUUGAAACUUUACAAAUUCACACAAAUGCAAAACUAAAAAUACAUAACCCUUGGAGAUGCUCUUAUAUACUACUAAUACUACAAACGAAAGUGCUCAAGUGCUCCAAACUAAAAAAUAAUACUAGAAUCUUUUAAGCCCAGUAAUAUACUAGAAUAAUACUAGGAUAAUAUACUAAAAAGUAAUACUAAAAAAUAAUACUAGAAUAAUAGUACAAACAAUAAUAUAUACAAAACACUAGAAAAUAAAAUAUAUAUUAGAGACUUAUAUACUACUAGUGCUACUACAAACGAAAGUGCUGGAGUGCUCUAAACUAAAAAAAAUAAUAGUAGAAUCUUUUAAGCCUAAUACUAGUUCCCAACAAUUAAGUAGUUAUAUAUACUAGGAAUGUACUGCAUCCAGUUCCCACGUAGAGUAGUGAUACAUACUACUUCCUAACUAACAAAGAAUUAGCACGGGGCAGGCUAGAUCGGUCUAUAUAAUUUCCAUUAUACAUGCCUCCGUUCCAAAAUGAUAAUUAUAUUGCAAACAGAAAAAAUCAACUUAUAUAAAUUUUGACCAUAAUUAUUAUUCAAAUUAUAUACAAGUUUAAAAUAUAAAACUUGUUUUAAUAAAUUUGUAUUCAUAGUGUAUGUGAGAUUACAUUGACUCUUUAGCAAACGACACAAACGGUGAAAAAUUAUUUUGUGGUCUGUUUGAUUUUUCUAUGAUCAAAUUGCAUAUGAAAACUUAGUGUUUGCAUAUUAGCCUCGGUGGAGAUAGAUCGAUCUAGUACGUAUAGGGAUAUGGUCGCUGCGACGACGCUAGUGGAGAUGGCUGCGGCGGCACUGGAGACGGCCGCGGCGGCACUGGAGACGACGAGGAUGCGCGCGCUGAAGACGAAAGGCCGGCGGCGCUGGAUAUGGCUCUGCUUGACGAAGACUAAGGCAACUGCUU